CUCCAGCUCAGGGAUGCCUGGGUGGCUCAGUCAUUAAGCUUCUGCCUUCAGCUCACGUCACGGUUCCAGGGUUCUAGGUUGGAGCCCUGCC